GUCAGUGGGGCGGCCGGCCUCCCAGGGGCCUGAGGGAACAGGGCCGAUAACAUAUGCGAAAGCGCUCGGGAAAACUGAAGCCGACACGUGAGGGUGCGUUACAUACGACGGCAGGGCCUCCCGCGAAGAGGCGACAAGGACCCCGGGGGGGAGGCCCAACGGGCCGAAAAGCGGCCCCUGGCGGCGACAACUGCCACAGCCGCCUGACAGAACGCUGCCAUGGCAACAAGGUCGACCCGGCGCCUGCGCGAGGCGUUCCGGAAGUGACGUUGCUGAAGAGGCGCCUGGGGCCGAGCUGUGGCCUAUCGAGUGUUGCGGAGGGGUGAAAGGCCGCCUGAGGAAUUCCUGUCGCUCUGCGAACGGUAAUGAGGGAAUAUCAGAGCUGAAAUGAAGCAGUGAGCUGGCGAGAAGUGGACACUGAGCGGGGAGCUACAGCCUGGCUGGCUUUGCCCAGUUUUCAGUUGCAUGGCUCUGGACUAAACCUCAUUCUCUGUCUUUUUGGCCCCGGACGGAGUCACGCCAAGCAGGGCCUGGAGUUCCCAGCAACACAGAUGCUGUCUUUUUAGGGGCAAGGCUGGAAGUCGACACCACCUAAAACCUUUCAUCACAACUUCUGGCCUCCUCUUUCCCUCCUUCCAUCAUCCCCAGUCCCCACCCUUUCCUCCCCCAUGACCAUCUCUGUCUGCUCCUCAGUCAGCCCCACCAAGUGAGCCGCAUGUGCCAUCGUGCAGCUCUGAGGCCACCUGUUAGACACGGAGAAUUCAUCAACUUUAAAAGUUUCGCCGCUUCCUUCCUUUGCUUGCAGUACAGAUCCUGAAAUGGGAACGUUUUUGGUGGAGACUUGAAGAAACCACUCACAAACAGAUUUGUUGAUUUCUGCAUAAUUUUCAUCCCUUCCUUUCUUGGUGCUGCUCAGAGAUAAAUUUCUCACUCUCUUGUCCCUGGCUGUGAAGGAUUAAGACUUUUUAAGAAAGGAAACAAAAAAAGGAAAUAAGUUCUUAUAAAAAUAAGGAAUUUUUUUAUCUUAUCUUCUUGCAAAACGUUACUAUCUCAAACAAAAAGGAAACGAUGAAAGCUAUCGACAUCACUGUGUGAUAAAGUUAGCACACCUCACUGAAAUAUUAAGUGAGAAAAAACAUGUGAGAAGAACGUCUUUGUUUUUGUACACACCGAAUGUGCCAAGUGAGGAAACACUUCUCUGUUUUUUUGGACAAAAGAAGAAAUUUUGAAGGAAAGAAUUUCAAGGAACUGAAAGAGUGGAUUCUGAAAAUUGUAAUAAUGUGUAUCAAAAUUACAAAUAGCUAAAGUGAAAACUAAAAUAAAGAUAAAGAGAAGAGUAAAAACUCUCAAGAUAAGGGGACAAGUUGUGCUUUGCUAGAUUUUAAUGAAAAUAAAGGAAUGCAUUAGAUGUCUUUCUUCACUGGAAAAAAUUUACAGCCAAAAAAAAAUGAAGAAAAAAGGCAAAAAGGUAAAGAACGGACACACUCAGAGAGCAGUAGCAAUGCACAGCAUGCACUCACACACAGUGACAAGGCAAAUGAAGAGGAAGAUGCAGCCUCUUGUACUUUUUUGGAAAGACUUCUGGCUUUCGCAUCUGCGCUUCCUUAUAUAAGGGUUGCGAUACCAAUGAUUUUCUGAUUCCACCCGCAUCUCGGAGGUUCCAGCUUUCAGAGAAUAUUUAUUAGGCUGAAAUAAUUGUUUCAGUGGAAAAUAUUUGAGUUUUCUUUUUCCAACAGGUUUCUGCCUUACGCAGGUUCCAACUUCUACAGGUUUUACUGUAUUUUUAUGGUUUUUAAAAAUUGUAUGUUAUAUUUAGGUCCCUAGGUGGCGCAAACAGUUUGCACUCACCUGCUAACCUAAAGGUUGGCAGCUGGGACCCAUCCAGCAGCACUGCAGAAGAAAGGCCUGGUGACCUGCUUUUGUUAAGCUUACAGUCAAGAAAACCCUGUGGAGCAGUUCCAUUCCGUAACACAUGGACUCACCAUGAGUCAGAAUCCACUUGACAGCAACUAACAAUAACAACAUUAUAUUUAAAUGCAUGCAUUUACUGCAUUGGUAUAGACUAGGAAAUAAAGGGGUCUCAGGAUGCUUUCUGAACACGUGGAUUUCAGUUUUUUCUUUCUUUGUGUGUAUUUGGUAGGCUGCAUGUGUUUGGCCUUGAUUCCUCAGGUUGUUUACAAUCCUAAGUUCUGGCUGCUCUGUUGCUGGAACUGCUGACCGACAGCCCCUGGACUGUAAGGUGGUCAGUCUCCAUACCCUGGUCUCCUCUGGAAUGCCUAUUGGCUGUGUUUGCACCUGUCAAAACAGGACAUCUGCACUGACCACAGGCAGUUACCAAUUUCUCAGAAAGUUGGAAGUCACAGCUCUUGAUAUUAUGAGCUUCCUGCUUCCGGUGCAGAAUGUCUGUGCUUCCUGGACCACCCAGGCUACUCCAUAUACAGGCCCAGGGCCAGGACAACACAGUUAGACCGGACCUGAAGGCUGAGAGGAAGACUCGUUAGAGGAGAUCACCAGGUAAUCCAAACUGGAGCUUCAUUAGUUGGAACGACAGGUUGAAUUGGGAGCAGUGACACAUUGAAGACAGGACGGUGACCCCCAUCUCUCUUUCCAAGGCCAGACACUAGAAAUUCCUUUACUGUCCUCCUCCUUCCUAUAAGGAUUUACAAGGGUGCGGAGAAGGGGGGAGGUUCUCUGGGGGCACUAAAGAACCAUCUAUAGUGACUUUCCUGACAAAUCAAAGAAGGGCCUCCCUUUGCCCAGCCCCUGUCUCCUUCAUUGUAAAACCUGGUGCAGAUAACUUCCUGGGCCUGUGGACAUUGAGUCGCUUGUAAUUUCCCUGACCUUACCAUUCCAGCCUCCGUCAUUUGUAAAGUGGAUUCUUGGGCCCCAAACACACCUGGUGUCGGCCACCUUUGCUCCUCACCUAUGUACCUACCAGGGCAUGGUCUCUACCUGGAAGAAUUCUAACUCCUCAAGGCUGUGCUGGGGCUUGGGCCAUGUAAGCACUGGCCUCACACAUUGUACAGUUGAUGCCAUCUUCACAGUAUGGUUCAUCCAGGUGUGAACCAGGCAGGGAAAGUGCUACCUAACUUGGUAGGUCAGAGAGCUGACACAGGCCAUGUCACUGGCCCAGUUUCUACAUUUGGUAGGACCAAUGUUCAGUCCCCACUGGGCUAUGGCAUCCUGGUGGAGGCUUACUGUGCUGGCCCAGACACCGCACAGUAGCCCAGGAAGCCCCUCAAAGAUGUCCUAUUAGCCUGGAGCAGCCCAGGGCUCUAAUGUGCGCCUGCAAACCUCAGGCUGCCAAGCUUCCUCUCCAGGGCUGAGUGGCAUUCACCCCGGCCCUGAUACCUUACUGGGCACCCACAGGAAGGGCCACCUCAGGUGUUUAAGAGCACCUGCCCAGCCCUGGUC